rnacentral:rRNA from 1 species
GACGAACCGUGCGAACGUUGUUCGGAUUCACUGGGCUUAAAGGGCGCGUAGGCGGAUGGUCAAGUCGGGGGUGAAAUCUUUCAGCUUAACUGGAAAAGUGCCUUCGAUACUGAUCGUCUCGAGGGAGGUAGGGGCAUGUGGAACUUCCGGUGGAGCGGUGAAAUGCGUAGAUAUCGGAAGGAACGCCGGUGGCGAAAGCGACGUGCUGGACCUCUUCUGACGCUGAGGCGCGAAAGUACGGAGGCAAACGGG